AACGAACGCUGGCGGCAGGCUUAACACAUGCAAGUCGAACGGGUGUAGCAAUACAUCAGUGGCAGACGGGUGAGUAACACGUGGGAACCCUCCUAGAGGUACGGAACAACUCAGGGAAACUUGAGCUAAUACCGUAUACGCUCGUGUGAGGAAAGAUUUAUCGCCUUUAGACGGGCCCGCGUCGGAUUAGCUAGUUGGUGGGGUAACGGCCUACCAAGGCGACGAUCCGUAGCUGAUCUGAGAGGAUGAUCAGCCACACUGGAACUGAGACACGGUCCAGACUCCUACGGGAGGCAGCAGUGGGGAAUCUUGGACAAUGGGCGCAAGCCUGAUCCAGCCAUGCCGCGUGAGUGAAGAAGGCCUUCGGGUUGUAAAGCUCUUUUGUCAGGGACGAUAAUGACGGUACCUGAAGAAUAAGCCCCGGCAAACUUCGUGCCAGCCGCCGCGGUAA
rnacentral:rRNA from 1 species